AUUGAACGCUGGCGGCAGGCCUAACACAUGCAAGUAGAACGAGUGGCGGACGGGGGAGUCAUUUCUGGUAAACUGCCUGGUGGAGGGGAAAAACGACUGUGACGGGUUGCUAUUACCGCAUGCCAUCGGAUGUGCCCAGAUGGGAUUAGCUAGUAGGUGGGGUAAAGGCUCACCUAGGCGACGAUCCCUGGCUGGUAUGAGGGGGUGACCAGACACACGUGAACUGAGACGCGGUCCAGACUCCUAGGGGAGGCAGCAGUGGGGAAUAUUUCACUAUGGGCGCAAGCCUGAUGAAGCCAUGCCGCGUGUAUGAAGAAGGCCUUCGGGUUGUAAAGUACUUUGAGCGGGGAGACGUUACCCGCAGAAGAAGCACCGGCGAACCCCGUGCCAGCAGCCGCGGUAAUUC
rnacentral:rRNA from 1 species